rnacentral:sRNA from 1 species
AAGGGACCUAGCGUAGUUCGGAAUUACUGGGCUUAAAGAGUUCGUAGGUGGUUGAAAAAGUUGGUGGUGAAAUCCCAGAGCUUAACUCUGGAACUGCCAUCAAAACUUUUCAGCUAGAGUAUGAUAGAGGAGAGCAGAAUUUCUAGUGUAGAGGUGAAAUUCGUAGAUAUUAGAAAGAAUACCAAUUGCGAAGGCAGCUUUCUGGAUCAUUACUGACACUGAGGAACGAAAGCAUGGGUAGCGAAGAGGAUUAGAUACCCUCGUAGUCCAUGCCGUAAACGAUGUGUGUUAGACGUUGGAAAUUUAUUUUCAGUGUCGCAGGGAAACCGAUAAACACACCGCCUGGGGAGUACGACCGCAAGGUUAAAACUCAAAUGAAUUGACGGGGACCCGCACAAGUAGUGGAGCAUGUGGUUUAAUUCGAAGAUACGCGCAGAACCUUACCAACACUUGACAUGUUCGUCGCGACUCUAAGAGAUUAGAGUUUUCGGUUCGGCCGGACGAAACACAGGUGCUGCAUGGCUGUCGUCAGCUCGUGUCGUGAGAUGUUGGGUUAAGUCCCGCAACGAGCGCAACCCUCACUUUUAGUUGCCAUCAUUAAGUUGGGCACUCUGAAAGAACUGCCAGUGAUAAGCUGGAGGAAGGUGGGGAUGACGUCAAGUCCUCAUGGCCCUUACAUGUUGGGCUACACACGUGCUACAAUGGCAUCUACAACAGGAAGCAAAACGGCAACGUUAAGCAAAUCCCGAAAAGAUGCCUCAGUUCGGAUUGCACUCCGCAACUCGAGUGCAUGAAGCUGGAAUCACUAGUAAUCGUGGAUCAGCGUGCCACGGUGAAUGCGUUCCCGGGUCUUGUACACACCGCCCGUCACACCAUGGGAGUUGGUUCUACCUUAAGGCAAGGUUUUAAACCCUUGACCACGGUAUAGUCAGCGACUGGGGUGAAGUCGUAACAAGGUAGCCGUAGGGGAACCUGCGGCUGGAUUACCUCCUUUCUAAGGAUGAGUGAAAGUAAAAUUUCACUCUAAAUAAUAUACAUCGGUAAUGUUGACCGUCCUCAUUUCUCUUCUUAAAGUAAUGUUUCCUUCUUGUAGGGCCGGUAGCUCAGUUGGUUAGAGCACACCCUUGAUAAGGGUGGGGUCGAAAGUUCGAGUCUUUCUCGGCCCACCAAAAACCUAAAUGGGGGAUUAGCUCAUCUGGGAGAGCGCCUGAUUUGCAUUCAGGAGGUAGCAGGUUCGAUCCCUGUAUCCUCCACCAGGAAACAUUUAGUUAUUAAAACUGUAAAUAAAAAUAAUUUAUAUCAAUAUCUAUAUCCGAACAUUAAAAGUUAUUAUUUAAUGUUCAAAAUAAAAAUUUGAUCACAACAUAGAUAAAUUUUCUGUUAAAAGAAUUUUUUUCUGUGCAUAAAUCAAGCGUUUAAGGGCGUGUAGUGGAUGCCUUGGCACUGAAAGCCGAUGAAGGACGUGAUAUACUGCGAUAAGUUUCGGGGAGCUGUAUGUAAGCUUUGAUCCGAAAAUUU